GGGAGGUAGUGACAAUAAAUAACAAUACAGGGUUCUUUGAAUCUUGUAAUUGGAAUGAGUACAAUUUAAAUCUCUUAACGAGGAACAAUUGGAGGGCAAGUCUGGUGCCAGCAGCCGCGGUAAUUCCAGCUCCAAUAGCGUAUAUUAAAGUUGUUGCAGUUAAAAAGCUCGUAGUUGAAUUUCGGGAUCAAUACGUCGGUCGUGCUUUUUUGGUACGCACUGGCGUCAUUGGUUUCUCCUUUCUGACGAACCAUGAUGUCAUUAAUUUGGUGUUAUGGGGAGUUAGGACUGUUACUUUGAAAAAUUAGAGUGUUUAAAGCAGGCAUUAGCUUGAAUACAUUAGCAUGGAAUAAUGAAAUAGGACGUUCGAUCCUAUUUUGUUGGUUUCUAGGAUCAACGUAAUGAUUAAUAGGGAUAGUUGGG
rnacentral:rRNA from 1 species